UACGGAGGGUGCAAACGUUGCUCGGAAUCAUUGGGCGUAAAGCGCACGUAGGCGGCUAGAUAAGUCGGGUGUGAAAGCCCUGGGCUCAACCCAGGAAGUGCAUUCGAAACUGUCUAGCUUGAAUCUCGGAGGGGGUCAGAGAAUUCCCGGUGUAGAGGUGAAAUUCGUAGAUAUCGGGAGGAAUACCAGUGGCGAAGGCGCUGACCUGGACGAAGAUUGACGCUGAGGUGACGAAAGCGCGGGGAGCAAACAGGGAUU
rnacentral:rRNA from 1 species